UACGAAGGGGGCUAGCGUUGCUCGGAAUCACUGGGCGUAAAGCGCACGUAGGCGGAUUGCUAAGUCAGGGGUGAAAUCCUGGAGCUCAACUCCAGAACUGCCUUUGAUACUGGCGAUCUCGAGUCCGAGAGAGGUGAGUGGAACUGCGAGUGUAGAGGUGAAAUUCGUAGAUAUUCGCAAGAACACCAGUGGCGAAGGCGGCUCACUGGCCCGGUACUGACGCUGAGGUGCGAAAGCGUGGGGAGCAAACAGG
rnacentral:rRNA from 1 species